CAAAUGAAUUUUAAUUCUACUUAUUACAUAACAAACUUAAUAAAAUGGAAGCAUUAUUAAAUUAAUAUACGUUAAAGCUUACUAUCAAUACUUUGUAGACAUAUUAUGAGAUUUUUUGUAGAUGAAAAGUUCAAAGCUCUUUUUUGGACCCUAAAAAUUGUGUCAUAAAAUAAAGUCAUAAAUCUGCGUUUUGGACAGAUGAUAUUUUACUACAUUCGUCAUGAUGGUUGGGAGGACAAUUUGUUUGAAAUUGUACAAAAACUUGAGAUAUUUUGAUUGUUUUAUUAAAUUGCAGAAACUAAACAAUUCAAAUAGACAACCAACUUUACGCGGAAAAGGGAUUAAAAUUGAAAAUAUUAUUCAUGAUGGUCCACUAAUGGAUUUAAUGGGUUACCACAAAAGUUACCUAUUUCUUAUCAAUUUAUAGAACAAAAUCACCUAUAUUAUGUACAAUGUGGUAAUGUUGGUAGACAACCCACUUUACAGGAGAAAACUCGGAAAAACUGGGUCCACUUUGACGAUUCUAAUGGAGCUUUUAAAUUUAAAACAUUUACGCCAUUUUAACGAAUUACAUUUACUGCACAAGUAAAAAUUAUGAAAUUAUUUUAAAUCUUUAAGUCUCAGUGUACUUUCCUUUUUAAACUAUCUUUUAGUUACAAUACAUAAAACUUCAAUAUACGUUGUCAAAGUUUCUGUAUUUCGUAAUAAAUGUUGAAAAGUAGUAGUAAAAUUUAAUAUCAAGAACAUUGUAGUUACAUGUAAAAUGUAACAAUAGCUACGUACUGACUAGACUGUUUUCUGCAUUUUCCUACACAUGUAAUAACGUAUAACAAUAAAAAAAUAACUUCUAGCAAUUGAGAUUAGAUAUAAAGGUCAAACCAGCUAUGUGUAGAAUGUAGAUAUUGAAUUGCAGAUAAAUUUUACAGUAAUUUGUCGUAUUAUUAUAAACAUAAUUUCAUAUUGGGUCAUAAAAGGUCCUGAAUAACAAUUUCCAGUUUAAUAACAAAUUAAGUGACAAAAAAAAACAGCUUAUCAUGUAACCCAGUUACGAAUUUAUUUAGAACAAAUAUCAGCGACAGAGGCCUAGACCUAGUAAAAGAAAUACAUAAUGAGUUACUCCUUGCUUUCACUUAACGGUUGAAGAACUAGACAAGAUUUUUAUUUAUUUAACAGUUGUUUAUAGGCAGUGAUCGAAUGGUGAAGCGUA
rnacentral:lncRNA from 1 species